rnacentral:rRNA from 1 species
UGGGGAAUAUUGGACAAUGGGCGAAAGCCUGAUCCAGCCAUGCCGCGUGUGUGAAGAAGGCCUUCGGAUUGUAACGCACUUUAAGUUGGGAGGAAGGGCAGUAAGCGAAUACCUUGCUGUUUUGACGUUACCGACAGAAUAAGCACCGGCUAACUCUGUGCCAGCAGCUGCGGUAAUACAGAGGGUGCAAGCGUUAAUCGGAAUUACUGGGCGUAAAGCGCGCGUAGGUGGUUCGUUAAGUUGAAUGUGAAAGCCCCGGGCUCAACCUGGGAACUGCCUCCAAAUGUGGCGAGGUAGAGGAGGACAGAGGGUGGUGGAAUUUCCUGUGUAGCGGUGGAAUGCGUAGGUAUAGGAGGGAACGCCAGUGGCGAAGGCGACCACCUGGGCUCAUACUGACACUGAGGUGCGAAAGCGUGGGGAGCAAACAGG